GGUAAUUAACAGCCUCAAUUACAGAAGAAAAACCCAAUCAGGGUUACAAUAAUUUAAUUUUAGCUUAAAGCAGCAUCCUCUUCAUGAAUCCUGCGUAGCAUUUGAUUAACAGCAGCUGCAAUCUCAUCCACUGUAUUAAGGUGACAACCUUCCUCAACCUUAACACUAACUGAAUAAAGAACCAAUUCAUCAACAGUGGAGACAUUGAGGUGGAGAACACUGAGCCUUAAGGCUUGCAAACCUGCCACCAUCUUCAAGAGCUGUCUGGGUCUUUUCUCUGAAAGUAUUUUAAGAUUGGCAUGGCUCUCCACCAUGGUCACUUCUAUGUCUGCCACAGACCACUGAUUUUGAUCAACUAUUGAUUCUUCACCCGUAGCCGGAGCUCGUGAUGAUGAGUACUGUGGGAAGGUGAAGAAGUCAGCAAAUGGUGAUGAAGAGAAGCCACUGACAUCUGUUGGUUGCUGCUUGGUCUUUUUGUGGGCCUCCAUGGUCAGCAAUAACUGCUCUAGCUCCUUCACAAAAUUAAUGGCACCUCCAAUUAUGGAUGCUUGGUCACCCCUCUGAACGUAGGAAGGUGGCAUCAGAGACCUGAGCACAGCAAGAUACUCGUUCAUCUGUUUCCUGCGGUUGCGUUCAACUGCAAUGUGAGUCAUCCUCUGGUUCUCUAUUUCCUCCUUAUUCUUGGUGCUCUUAGUGCGCCGUCGCUUUCGCCGGCCAGCAGUGGUGGGCGGUGGUACCAUUGGAUGGAAUACUCCAGCAGUAGGAGGAGGGAGAGAUUGAUCAACAGUGCAAGUCUCAGGUGAAGAAUUAGGAUCCCAUUGAUCUUUUGCAUGUUGCAUCAUGGAAGGAGAUGAGGAAUCCCAAUUUGCACGGAGACCAUGUCGUUGCUCUUUAUUAUUGUUGCUAUGUUCUGCAGGAAUCCCAAGAAAAACUUUUUCUUCAUCUUGUAGCUCAAAAUCAUAGUCCCAAGCCCCUCCAAUUGGAAAGGAAUAACAAUCCUUGUAGCCAUAACUAAAGGGGUCUUGUGGAUACACCACUGCCUCAAGUGCCAUAUCUAAAUCAAAAUUCAAUCUCCCUUGCGAUCUCUAUUGUCUAAUAAUGUGUAUGUAGCUUGUUUCCGGAUCAGGGAAAGGAGGAUUAGGGGCAUAUAUAGUGUAAGAUCCACGAGGCAAGAGCACAAGAAGGGACUGUGGUGUUGUGUUGUGGGUUUGAAAGGUGGGAGGAGAGGGUGAGUUGGUGGCUAGAAUUAGAAGCUCAAAGCCUGAAUUGAUGAUGAAAAAUUGAAAAGUGUU
rnacentral:misc_RNA from 1 species